CACGUAGGGGGCGAGCGUUGUCCGGAUUUAUUGGGCGUAAAGAGCUCGUAGGCGGUUCAGUAAGUCGGGUGUGAAACCCCCGGGCUCAACCCGGGGACGCCACCUGAUACUGCUGUGACUUGAGUCCGGUAGGGGAGCGUGGAAUUCCUGGUGUAGCGGUGAAAUGCGCAGAUAUCAGGAGGAACACCAGCGGCGAAGGCGGCGCUCUGGACCGGAACUGACGCUGAGGAGCGAAAGCGUGGGGAGCGAACAGG
rnacentral:rRNA from 1 species